AGUGGCGAACGGGUGAGUAACACGUGAGUAACCUGCCCUUGACUCUGGGAUAAGCCUGGGAAACUGGGUCUAAUACCGGAUAGGAACGUCCACCGCAUGGUGGUUGUUGGAAAGAUUUAUCGGUCAUGGAUGGACUCGCGGCCUAUCAGCUUGUUGGUGAGGUAAUGGCUCACCAAGGCGACGACGGGUAGCCGGCCUGAGAGGGUGACCGGCCACACUGGGACUGAGACACGGCCCAGACUCCUACGGGAGGCAGCAGUGGGGAAUAUUGCACAAUGGGCGAAAGCCUGAUGCAGCGACGCCGCGUGAGGGAUGACGGCCUUCGGGUUGUAAACCUCUUUCAGUAGGGAAGAAGCGAAAGUGACGGUACCUGCAGAAGAAGCACCGGCUAACUACGUGCCAGCAGCCGCGGUAAUACGUAGGGUGCGAGCGUUAUCCGGAAUUAUUGGGCGUAAAGAGCUCGUAGGCGGUUUGUCGCGUCUGUCGUGAAAGUCCGGGGCUUAACCCCGGAUCUGCGGUGGGUACGGGCAGACUAGAGUGCAGUAGGGGAGACUGGAAUUCCUGGUGUAGCGGUGGAAUGCGCAGAUAUCAGGAGGAACACCGAUGGCGAAGGCAGGUCUCUGGGCUGUAACUGACGCUGAGGAGCGAAAGCAUGGGGAGCGAACAGGAUUAGAUACCCUGGUAGUCCAUGCCGUAAACGUUGGGCACUAGGUGUGGGGACCAUUCCACGGUUUCCGCGCCGCAGCUAACGCAUUAAGUGCCCCGCCUGGGGAGUACGGCCGCAAGGCUAAAACUCAAAGGAAUUGACGGGGGCCCGCACAAGCGGCGGAGCAUGCGGAUUAAUUCGAUGCAACGCGAAGAACCUUACCAAGGCUUGACAUCCACCGGACCGCACUGGAGACAGUGCUUCCCUUCGGGGCUGGUGGACAGGUGGUGCAUGGUUGUCGUCAGCUCGUGUCGUGAGAUGUUGGGUUAAGUCCCGCAACGAGCGCAACCCUCGUUCUAUGUUGCCAGCACGUGAUGGUGGGGACUCAUAGGAGACUGCCGGGGUCAA
rnacentral:rRNA from 1 species